AAAUAAUUCAAUCGGUAGUAGCGAUGGGCGGUGUGUACAAAGAGCAGGAACGUAAUCAACGCGAGCUUAUGACUCGCACUUACUGGGAAUUCCUCGUUCAUGGGGAACAAUUGCAAGCCCCAAUCCCUAGCACGAAGGAGGUUCAGCGGGUUACCCCGACCUUUCGGCCUAGGAAGACACGCUGAUUCCUUCAGUGUAGCGCGCGAACGGCCCAGAACAUCUAAGGUCAUCACAGACAUGUUAUUGCUCAAUCUCGUGUGGCUAGAAGCCACCUGU